rnacentral:rRNA from 1 species
GACGCCGCGUGCGGGAGGAAGCCCUUCGGGGUGUAAACCGCUGUCAGGGGGGACGAACCGCCGGUAGUCGAACAGGCUAUCGGUCUGACGGUACCCCCAGAGGAAGCGCCGGCUAACUCCGUGCCAGCCACGUCGGUGACUGAGCGGGCUGGCAAGGCGCAUA